UAGGGAAUAUUGGACAAUGGGGGCAACCCUGAUCCAGCCAUGCCGCGUGAGUGAAGAAGGCCCUCGGGUUGUAAAGCUCUUUUGUCCGGAAAGAAAAGCAUUCGGUGAAUACCCGGAUGUUCUGACGGUACCGGAAGAAUAAGCACCGGCUAACUUCGUGCCAGCAGCCGCGGUAAUACGAAGGGUGCAAGCGUUACUCGGAAUUACUGGGCGUAAAGCGUGCGUAGGUGGUUGUUUAAGUCUGAUGUGAAAGCCCUGGGCUCAACCUGGGAAUGGCAUUGGAAACUGGGCAGCUAGAGUGCGGUAGAGNGUAGUGGAAUUCCCGGUGUAGCAGUGAAAUGCGUAGAGAUCGGGAGGAACACCUGUGGCGAAGGCGACUGCCUGGACCAGCACUGACACUGAGGCACGAAAGCGUGGGGAGCAAACA
rnacentral:rRNA from 1 species